UUGGUAUGUUUUUCAUUUUUAUUUUUAAAUAUGUAAUGAUACGUUUUAUUGAUUUUUAUUUUUAAUUGUAAUUAUUUUAAUACUUUAAAAGAAAAUAAAAAAGUUGCCCUGCUAAUGAAAUCCCCCUUUUAAAAAUAUUUUAUUUGUUUACGUUAAAGUUUAGCUUAUGUUGAGAAACAGAAAUGUUAAAUGGUUAAGUUUUAGUGAGUCCUCCCCCUGUUCCUCUUUGCUCACUUGUGUGCAUUAGUAAAAGUGAAGAGUGAAAGUGAAAAGAAAUGGCGGGAACGCGGGCGUGGGGGGUGGGCUCAUGGGGGCAGGGGCCGCACUGGGGUCCGAGGCGACAGAAAAGAAGAGCGACAGCGCGUAAAGAAAGGACGCGAGGUGGCCUCUUCUGCGAUGACAUCAUCCCUCAUUUGCAUAAAUCUCCGCCUGAAUUGAAAGCUCAUUGGUCACAGGCGAGAGAGACCGAAGCUGCUCUCGCUUUUCAUCCUUUUCAAUGCCCCUCCCGCGACCGCAUAGUGUGCGCGUGCGUGCGUGCGCGGACCGUCGAGCGCCGUUCCAUUCUCUGCUGCCAGGAGACGCGCAUCGCUUUUAUCGCCGGUAGACAGUCAGUCAGCUCCAAACGGCCUUUGUCAGAGCUACUGAUUUUUAUCUCAACAUUUGUUGCCGGUUGUUCUCGACUCGCAGUGCUGUCCUCCGAUUCCACUUGGAAAAAGAAAGAAAGAAAUAAAAAAUCGUGGAAGACGCGAGUACCGACUGGGCGUUGCUGGAGGAAAAGCGCUAGACUCGCCACUCUGUAGAACAGAGGUCAUCAGAAGUCAGCAGAUCCUCCCCCCAGAAUUAGAUGGACACCACAGGCCUCUGACCCCCCCAGGGUCACUGUUGUUUAUAUGCAGGAGGAAGCAGUCUAUAUCCCUCAGCAGGAUCAAGGUCGUAAGGGCGUGUGACGGUGUGUGUUUUCCUCUCUGAACAAGGCUGUUUUACCCCUCUAAUCUCGACCACCUGACAUUCUCACAGGCCGAUUCUCAUCUAUCAUUCUAAACAGGAUCAAGAGAAAAAAGCCAGGAGCGAUGGAACAGAUGCAACAAUGCCUGUAUUUACAACCAAUAUUAAAAUAGAGAGAGAUGUGAUCUAGAGGAGUUGUUGUUCAGAAGAGAAAACAGCCCUUGAGGUCUAUGAAGUGGAAGUGAUGUUGCAUGUGGUUGUGCUUGUCUAAAAGACUCAAAUCUUUGAUAUUCUUCAUUGCUUACUUGUGUUCUGUUCUAGUUCUGUUUGUGAUGCAUAAUUUAAAACUAAGCAGGUAUAGUGUACCAUAACUUUUAAAAUCUGACUUGUCCGUGUUAGAUAUUGGCACGCUUUCUCCCUUAGUUUGGUUUGCUUAGGCACAUAUAAACACAGCAAUUGCACUUGAAUCCACACCAAAAUAAACAGUCCGAGAUCACCCGAAUGAGGUAUCUGAGCCCGAUUAAAAAUAAACUCUUGUUUAAUUGUGGUGAGAAAGAAAUGCAACCCAACAGACCAACGAAUCAAGCUGUAUCGGGAAUUCAUAAUGGGAAUGCGUGACAUAAAAAAAAGCAAGCAUUUUCUGAUUCUGAGCACAUUAGUUAUCAUGGUUAAAAAAACUGAACUGAACCAAGAAGAAACAGUAAAAAAUUUCUGUUUCAGUGUGGAGCAAAUGAUCUGCAGGUCUGAAAACACUCCCAAGUGUCCAGAGUUCCCCUAUUUGACACAAAUACUAUUGUUUAUUUGCCAUGGGAACAGUUGUUUGCAAGUAAAUGUGUUCAUUGUUAAUCUUCUCAAGUGCACAAGUAGAUAGCUAGAUCUCUGUCCAAGGCAAUAGAUCUUCUCAUAUCUUUUUUGUCCAUAUCUGGCCAGCAUAUUAUGGAAUGGGUUCUUUUCUCCCGGGGUUUGCUCUCUUUUUUCCAUCACUCUCUCCGUCCCUUCCCCCCAGUCUGUCUAAUUGGGAUGCUCAGCUGCCUGGACCAUCUGUGUGAGGACUAACUGAGGAGAUUUUGUAAUGGGCAGAAUGAGUCCGAGGGGCGGAAGAAUGAAUGUCGACCUCAGAAAGAAUCAGGGAGAUUUUGCAGCUCUGGAAUAUAAUGUGGAUGAGGUGUCCAGUGACACUGACGUUCGCUUUAUGUGUGUGCGUUUUCAAUGUUUGUCGACUGACUCUUAUUUUUCCCAUGCUCCCUUGAGCCAAGUCAUUUCCUCUCGUUGGCCUCUUCCACUUUAUGAACUUUGCUAUGGAGCUGCUGCUCUUAAAUCAUGCAAACAACAUCUGCUUUAGUAAAG
rnacentral:lncRNA from 1 species